rnacentral:rRNA from 1 species
UUAAUUCCGGUGGCGGAUGGGCAUGCGUCGCAUUAGUUAGUUGGCGGUGUAACGGACCACCAAGACGACGAUGCGUAGGGGUUCUGAGAGGAAGGUCCCCCACACUGGUACUGAGACACGGACCAGACUCCUACGGGAGGCAGCAGUGAGGAAUAUUGGUCAAUGGGCGGGAGCCUGAACCAGCCAAGUCGCGUGAGGGAUGACGGCCCUAUGGGUUGUAAACCUCUUUUGCCGGGGAGCAAAGUGCCGCACGUGUGCGGUUUGGAGAGUACCCGGAGAAAAAGCAUCGGCUAACUCCGUGCCAGCAGCCGCGGUAAUACGGAGGAUGCGAGCGUUAUCCGGAUUUAUUGGGUUUAAAGGGUGCGUAGGCGGACGCUUAAGUCAGCGGUAAAAUUGCGGGGCUCAACCUCGUCGAGCCGUUGAAACUGGGUGCCUUGAGUGGGCGAGAAGUACGCGGAAUGCGUGGUGUAGCGGUGAAAUGCAUAGAUAUCACGCAGAACUCCGAUUGCGAAGGCAGCGUACCGGCGCCCAACUGACGCUGAAGCACGAAGGCGUGGGUAUCGAACAGGAUUAGAUACCCUGGUAGUCCACGCAGUAAACGAUGAAUGCUAGUUGUCCGGGGCGAUUGAGUUCUGG